UGUUUUUAUUAGCUAGUUGAAUGUUGCAUAUUGCUAAUAUGUUUUUUCUCUCUUGUCUCUCUGAAAACAGGAUGGAGUGAUGACACCUUUGAAUUUGUGCAUCUAUAUGGGAUACUGCUUUUAAGUGUCUCCAAGAGUGCCUCAUGUCAGGAAAUCCAAUGCAUGGAAACUGCAGAAGGCAGAAAGUCAAGAAAGAGACAUGGAAUUCAAUGCAAAAGAGAGGAUAGUUUCCAUUUGGAAAUCCGUGGAUGGGUAAAGAUGAAAGCCAUUUGAAGAGACAGAAACUAUAGGAAUACAGUGUAAGAGCCUGUAAGAGACUGCCCAGCCUGACAAAAGAUAUGGACAUUGCUUUCUUAAUAUAGAUUAAAAAUCUGUCAUAGAGAAAAAAAUAUAGCAUUAAUGGGGCAGUUACACUAUAAAGACAUCUGCUAGAAAUCUAAUUAUACUAAAAAGCUGAGCAUCAGAUAAAUUCUUAACUUGUCUUGCUGACAAUCUCAUCUCUCAAAAGGUAGUAGAAGCAAAAAGUGGAACCCUUACUUAGUUCUGACCAGCAAGAAAGAAGUGGUUGCUAUUGCAAAGUGAGAGAAAAUAUAAACAAAAAUGGUACAGUAACAUGAAUUCAUACUGCAUGCAUAACAUACCUAAAGCACAUAUAUGUAAACUUUGAAGUAAAAAAUAGCUGGAUAUUUAAUGACAGUGGAUGACCACAAAUUCAAUAUAUACUCAAACUCUGUAUAACUGUGGAGAAGUAAUAGGAAUAUUUCUUUUGAACUGUUCAUAUCUUUGAACCAAUAAUUUCACUUUAGAAAUACCUGAAAAAUAUCUUUAUCAAAAAUUAUAAAAAUAUGCAGAGAUAUCUGCGAUAGCACUAUUUGUUAUUGAAGCAAAAUAUAACAAAAAUCUGGUGUCCAAUAAAAGGACAGUAUAUUCACUCAAUAGAUCAUUAUGCAAUCAUUAUGAUGAUAGAAUUUAUGAUAACAUAAAAAUCAAAUACUAUAAAUAGCUUAAUAUAAGCUGGAAAACGUCAAAAUACAAAAUUUUACAAGUCCCCUUGUGUACUAAACAUGCUAAGUAUAUAUAUGAAUAUUUUAUUCAAUCACUCAACAAAUUUGAUUAAGUGCCUACUAAUAGACCAAGUAAUGAUCUUGACAUGCAGUGAACAUUGAACAAAAUAAAUCAAAAUACUGUCCCCAUAGAGCUUCUUUUCUAGUUGGGGAAGACACAAAAUGCACUAUUUAGAGAAGUUAUCUUUGGGUAAAGGAACUAUGGGUGAUACAUGAGUAAUUUUUUGCUUCCUUGCCUAUACUUCUCAAAUGUCCCACAGUGAACAUUUAUCAUUUUCAUAAUGAAAAUAUAAAAUAUUGUUUUUAAAUUAGCUGAAAUGUAUGCAUAUUUAAUAAAAGUGUUAUGUCUUGAUUUAAUAAAUGUGUAAUGUCCUAAUC
rnacentral:lncRNA from 1 species